GACGAACGCUGGCGGCGUGCCUAACACAUGCAAGUCGAACGGAGAAUUAGCAAUAAUUCUUAGUGGCGAACGGGUGAGUAACGCGUAGACAACCUACCCUUUAGAUGGGGACAACACCGCGAAAGUGGUGCUAAUACCGAAUAUUGCUUGAGAAGCGCAUGCUUUUCAAACUAAAGAUGGCCUCUAUUUAUAAGCUAUCGCUAAAGAAUGGGUCUGCGUCUGAUUAGCUAGUUGGUGAGAUAAAAGCUCACCAAGGCAACGAUCAGUAGCCGGUCUGAGGGGAGGAACGGCCCCACUGGGACUGAGACACGGCCCAGACUCCUACGGGAGGCAGCAGUGGGGAAUCUUCCGCAAUGGACGAAAGUCUGACGGAGCAACGCCGCGUGAGUGAUGAAGGUUUUCGGAUCGUAAAACUCUGUUGUUAAGGACGAAUGUAUAGAUUGUGAAUAAUGGUUUAUAAUGACGGUACUUAACGAGGAAGCCACGGCUAACUACGUGCCAGCCGCCGCAGUAA
rnacentral:rRNA from 1 species